CUGGCUAGCAAGCCCUACUAUAUCAUACUAUUAUGUUACAGUUCAUUUACAUCAUUGAAAUUCAUAAUUAUUAUAAAAACAUUCAUAUUGACCAGGAACUGCACUAGCACUGUAGCUAACUAGCUCAUAGAUAAACCUGCAGUUGAGCAUGUGCUGAUACGCUUAUAGUCAAGUAAUCCAGUUUCUACGGUAUGCUUGAUAUGAUUGCAAACGGGUGUUCACAGACGGUGAGUUUCGCUUCAGGACGUCAGCCAUGGUUGGCUGCUUUUCGAAUAUUCAGCCAUUGCGUGCCACUGUUUAUUGGCAACAAUCUGUUGAAACGGUAACGCCAUUUACCAUCUUAUCUCUCAGCAGGGUCUAUCGCUAUCACUUCCAUUUCUGCUUCCGACCGCUUCCGUGUGGAGUCGUCAGAAAGCUGCUGUCACACUGAGCAAGUGUGCAGUAGUCAUUGGCCUUCGAGAGUUCGAGCUGCUUUGACAAGGCGAAUCUAGGAUCCAUUCCACAGACAAUGCGUGUUGCACCACCAGCCCCCCUUCGUCUUCAGUUCGUUUUCAGCCGCCCCCAUUGUUUUCUUCCUGCCAUGAGGCAUGCUUUGCAAACUCGUCACACUCUCCUUUAAAAUGACCUGGUUUUUGGCAUCUGGUUUUUUCUUGUAGGUGUGGGCAAUCAAACCUUCCUCACUCGAUCAAGAAUUUUUCUUCUUCGUUACUAACAUUGUAACUCUCUGGCAAACUUGCUAGAAUAUACACAACACGAUCUUCUUUCUUAAACGAGCAUGUUGGCUUUAUAAGGCGCGGUUAAUGACUUCCGCCUGUUGCGGUACAAAAGGCCCAUGCCCUGGGCAGACCUUUGACCCCAGCUCCAACAUUCAAAUAUCAGUAAACAACUCUCGUUUCUUUUCCCGCUUCAUAGCCCGUUCAAACGAUAUGAACGGCUUUUUAUGUUUUUUUUACACAAGUUUUUACACAAGCAAACAAAACACAUAGCACAUAAUGGCUGAACAAGCAUACCACAGAAGGCCAUUACAUAAAAUGUACAUCUAUAGGUACGGUACAGCCAGCAUCUUCCAGUGCACUUUCUGGAGGAGUUCCAGAAGUUGCUUGCGCUGUUCCCUGACCUCACUCUUGCCAUCCGAAGGUAACACUGGAAAGUAUUCUAGUUCAAUAAUUAUCACGUGAUAUGGAUGACGAUCACUUAUUUUUUGCACAGGAGCAAGGACGGUUGGGGUCCUUCGAGGCCUAAGAAAGGUCCCGGAGGGUAUGAUCCUCCGGUCUUGAACGGAGAGGGUCCCUGUCACAAGGAAUAUGGUGAAGCGCUUCAAACUAUACCGCAAGUAUUGGACGGAUUAUAAAGUGACCAAAACCAGUGCACAUGACAAGGGGAUGCCUGACUGAGUUUGGUACUGCUUCAGUGAGCUCGUCAACCUGCAGAACAGCGCUCGGUGAUCAUGUUGACGAGGGGACGUACCUUACCUAUGCGAUCGCUACCGGGUGUGCCAGGAGUUGGGAGAGUGGUGUUAUUAAUAGGACACACUCUAGGUCAUCUUUAAUUAUUGUUCAACACUUGCACAUGCAUGGCCUCCUUUAGAAUGAUAAAUUCUGUCUCUGAGUUGGGCAAUGUUCGUUCUGAGAUAGUGCUCGGUUUGGCUUGUAUAACCUUUUGUAGUUUUUUCUUCAAUGAAGUUAAUUGGUGAGAUUCCAAUGAUGCUGGACACCGGACAUCAUUACUAACGGUGGUUAAUAGACUCUGAGCAUCAGGUGUUGAACCAGGAGCUGAACCUAACAGCUCCUAAG